GAUGAACGCUGGCGGCGUGCCUAAUACAUGCAAGUCGAGCGAACAGAUGAGGAGCUUGCUCCUCUGACGUUAGCGGCGGACGGGUGAGUAACACGUGGAUAACCUACCUAUAAGACUGGGAUAACUUCGGGAAACCGGAGCUAAUACCGGAUAAUAUAUUGAACCGCAUGGUUCAAUAGUGAAAGACGGUUUUGCUGUCACUUAUAGAUGGAUCCGCGCCGCAUUAGCUAGUUGGUAAGGUAACGGCUUACCAAGGCAACGAUGCGUAGCCGACCUGAGAGGGUGAUCGGCCACAAUGGAACUGAGACACGGUCCAGACUCCUAAGGGAGGCAGCAGUAGGGAAUCUUACACAAUGGGCGAAAGCCUGACGGAGCAACGCCGCGUGGGUGAUGAAGGUCUUCGGGUCGUAAAACUCUGUUAUUAGGGAAGAACAAAAGUGUAAGUAACUAUGCACGUCUUGACGGUACCUAAACAAAAAGCCACGGCUAACUUCGUG
rnacentral:rRNA from 1 species